rnacentral:tRNA from 1 species
UCCCUGGUAGCUCAGACGGUAAAGCAUCUGCCUACAAUGUAGGAGACCUGGGUUCGAUCCCUGAGUAGGGAA